rnacentral:rRNA from 1 species
UACGUAGGGUGCAAGCGUUGUCCGGAAUUAUUGGGCGUAAAGAGCUCGUAGGCGGUCUGUCGCGUCGGAUGUGAAAAUCCAGGGCUCAACCCUGGACCUGCAUUCGAUACGGGCAGACUAGAGUUCGGUAGGGGAGACUGGAAUUCCCGGUGUAGUGGUGAAAUGCGCAGAUAUCAGGAGGAACACCAGCGGCGAAGGCGGCGCUCUGGGCUGGAACUGACGCUGAGGAGCGAAAGCGUGGGGAGCGAACAGG